UACGUAGGCAGCGAGCGUUGUUCGGAGUUACUGGGCGUAAAGGGUGUGUAGGCGGUUGUUUUAAGUUUGGUGUGAAAUCUCCCGGCUCAACUGGGAGGGUGCGCCGAAUACUGAAUGACUUUGGAGUGCGGGAGAGGAGAGUGGAAUUCCUGGUGUAGCGGUGAAAUGCGCAGAUAUCAGGAAGAACACCUAUGGCGAAAGGCAGCUCUCUGGGGACGGUACUGACGCUGAGACGCGAAAAGCGUGGGGGAGCGAAACAGGG
rnacentral:rRNA from 1 species